rnacentral:snRNA from 1 species
AUCAAAACUUAUAUAACACAGAG